rnacentral:sRNA from 1 species
UGUGCCGACGGACUGGCACGGGUUGGCAAGGAUGUCGACCGGGACAUCGCGGGAUGCGAUUCAUCAGGAUGAUGAGCAAGGAAAUCAAGGAAUAGGGACAAAAGAGUGGGCGGGGUUUACCCCGCCCCUUUUUUU